rnacentral:rRNA from 1 species
UACAGAGGUCUCAAGCGUUUGUUCGGAUUCAUUGGGCGUAAAGGGUGCGUAGGCGGCGCGGUAAGUCGGGUGUGAAAUUUCGAGGCUUAACUUCGAAACUGCAUUCGAUACUGCCGUGCUAGAGGACUGGAGAGGAGACUGGAAUUUACGGUGUAGCGGUGAAAUGCGUAGAUAUCGUAAGGAAGACCAGUGGCGAAGGCGGGUCUCUGGACAGUUCCUGACGCUGAGGCACGGAAGGUCAGGGGAGCAAACGGG